rnacentral:lncRNA from 1 species
CUAAGUGUGGCUGUGCCCCCUAACUGUGGGGCGCCCCAUAAGUGUGGCUGUGCCACCUAAGUGUGGGUCUGCCCCCUAAGUGUGGGGUGGGACUCAUAAGUGGGUCUGCCCCCUAGGUGUGGGGCUGCCCCCUAAGUGUGGGUCUGCCCCCCAGGUGCCCCCCCGGCUGCCCCCUAAGUGUGGCUCUGCCCCCUAAGUGUGGCUGUGCCCCCUAAGUGUGGGUCUGCCCCCUAAGUGUGGGGCGCCCCCUAAGUGUGGCUGUGCCCCCCAGGUGCCCCCCCAGCUGCCCCCUAAGUGUAGGUCUGCC